rfam:Schistosoma mattheei strain Denwood, Zambia genome assembly, scaffold: SMTD_scaffold0001660
AUCCAGUUGACGAGUCUCAAAUAGGACGAGAUACGUGUCCUAGAU